UCGUAUUGUGGCGCUAAGUAUAGUUCAAAACUAAAUACUGUAGCUACAUAUAACGCGAUGGGGAGCCGCAUCUUGACUAAUUAAAGGGCCUUCCGCUUCACACAUCGUAUCAUUACAAUCUUAAGUAUAAUUUACUUAACAUUAUUACACGAAAUAACAGAAGUAACACAGUGAUUAUAAUUUAAUCAGGUAUUUGGAAGAAUUACAAAAAAACAGAUGAAUAACAAUGCUCUAUCACAGCUUCAUUGAUUAUUUUCAUGAAGCCCUAAAGAGAGGUUUACUUGUACACGCACUGAUCAAGAUUCCCACGGUACCGGUACCUUAGCAGUACCGAAAAACGUGGCAGAAAAAAUCCGUUAUAUUCGCCGAUAGUACCUAAAACAAGGGCUCAGAGGCAAUACAUGGAGGCCUCGGUAAAUAGUCCCAUGCCCGUGCCCGUGAGCCAAGCCGGCCUCUCCUGCAGCUGCCGCGCGUAGACCAGCCACGCACCCCGGGCACAGCAGCCCAGCCUUGCGCCGCAGCCCCCCCGCACUCAUUUCGCAUUUGGAAGAAAUCAGCUAACAGGCAGAGAAGCAGGACAGAAACCUUAGCUCAGCACCGCUUAAUCAAUCUUCCACGAUCCUUGCAGGACAUACAGACAUGUAUAAUAAGUCAAGUAGGUAGCUGCGUCAGCAUGGGCAGGCUGCAAAGGAACAAGUAAAGGUUUAUUCCACGCUGAAAAGAGAAGGAAACAAAAGCCUUGACAUCAAUCGGACGAAGAGCAACAUCGACUGCGGUGAACACGACUCUACAGAUAGGGCAAGUGAGAUUUCUCCACCCGAACCAAGCCUUCAGUUGAGACAG